rnacentral:misc_RNA from 1 species
GAUGAAGAACGUAGCGAAAUGCGAUAAGUAAUGCGAAUUGCAGAUCUCCGUGAGUCAUUGAAUCUUUGAACGCACAUUGCGCCCUCGGGUAUUCCAGAGGGCAUGCCUGUCCGAGCGUCAUUAUCCAACCAUCAAGCUCGGCUUGCGGUUGAGCCCCGCACCGUCCCCGGGACGGUGGGCUCGAAACAUGUUGGGCGCCCGUGAGGUUGUCGGUGCAGCGAGCUCUCGAGCACGUGCCGGGCAACCGCUCUGGGCGUCGGACAGCCCCCCCAUUUUCUCAGGUUGACCUCGGAUCAGGUAGGAAUACCCGCUGAACUUAAGCAUAUCAAUAAGCGGAGGA